rnacentral:rRNA from 1 species
GAUGAACGCUGGCGGCGUGCCUAACACAUGCAAGUCGAGCGAUUCUCUUCGGAGAAGAGCGGCGGACGGGUGAGUAACGCGUGGGUAACCUGCCCUGUACACACGGAUAACAUACCGAAAGGUAUGCUAAUACGAGAUAAUAUGCUUUUAUCGCAUGGUAGAAGUAUCAAAGCUCCGGCGGUACAGGAUGGGCCCGCGUCUGAUUAGCUAGUUGGUAAGGUAACGGCUUACCAAGGCGACGAUCAGUAGCCGACCUGAGAGGGUGAUCGGCCACAUUGGAACUGAGACACGGUCCAAACUCCUACGGGAGGCAGCAGUGGGGAAUAUUGCACAAUGGGCGAAAGCCUGAUGCAGCAACGCCGCGUGAGCGAUGAAGGCCUUCGGGUCGUAAGGCUCUGUCCUCAAGGAAGAUAAUGACGGUACUUGAGGAGGAAGCCCCGGCUAACUACGUGCCAGCCGCCGCCGUAA